GGCCAGUGAUCAGUGGUAAUGGGAGAUGGAGAGCCCAGCAACAUCUCUAGAGCCACAGAUUCCUCAUCCGUGGCUGUUGCAAUACUGAACUACAUGGACCAAUAGCUUGACUCACAAAGAGGCAGCAUCCUAUGUUAAUAAUAAUAAUAAUGUUUUUAUUAUUUAAUACCCCACCCAUCUGGCAUGUUCCUAAUAUGCAAGGCUGUCACUUUAAAACACCUUUAAGAUUCAGCUCACUAUCUCAUCCAGAAUGUAGUGGACAAAAAGGUGAAAAUUAAUUAUUUCCCUUUACUGUUCUCAUUUUUUUAGUGUUCAUCUACUGUAACUAUUGAUAUGUUUACAUACCAUGCUAGGUAGAAUGUCCACAUUGUUAGAAUACUGAUUUGUCUGCUCUGAACUAAUAUGUCAAUGACAAAGAUACCUUAUGUCAGCCUUCCCUAAACUGGUGUCCUCCAAAUGUUAGGAACCACAACUCUCUCAGCCACAACCAGUGGCUAGGGGUGCUGGGGGUUUUAAUCCAAAACAUUUAGGGGCGAGGAAAUCAAGAUUUGGGAGGGUUGACAUGGCAAGGAAUCAACCAAUUGUGACAUCCAAAAACAUGCACAUUGCAUCUUUAUUAAAACUUCUCCACAUCAGCUUCUUAAUGCAAGGAGGAAUGUAAGAGGGCAGAUUUCACAGCCUGCACAAAGGCACAAAAGAUCAUGAUUGGACUGUUUAUUCCCCCACCCCUCCCAUAUUUAAAACAGAGACAGAGAGCUUCUAAUUUCAUUGGAACCCAUCAUUUCCCCAUUUUAAAUUGGGAUACCCAUGAAAUUCAGAAAACUAGUUUUAACGUUAAAAAAGCCAGGCAAUCUAAUUACUGCUCUCCUGUAUCACAUAUAAUUCCAUUCUAAAACUGGAGAGUAAAUAGGACCACAGUCUCAUAUUUUAAGCAAGCCAUGCUGGGCAACACAAUCAUCUGUGUUAAGGGCCAAACUGGAUGAAGAUUUGUGCAUUUAUGUGUUUCUUACCAGGGUUAGCAACAUAGGUGUUUUAUUUGCAGAAAAUGGCAUGGGGAUUACUAUUGGGCUGGAUCUAGACACAUCAAAGAAGAAUUUCAGUUAAACGCCUUUUAAAGUUUGUAUGAGAAAUCGGAUUGGGAAAAAUGAAACUCCACACCGCCAUCUGGUGUCACAGUGUUAGAAUGCAUAAACAACAUAUAUAAAGUGCUUUUUAUUUGCCAAUGUGGCUGAGUCCUUGUUCUAUUGAGCUGUAAUCUGCAUCAGACUUAACUUGGCUACUAUUUGCAGAAAAUUGAAAGAGAGGGUUUGAAGCCUCUCCUUCACGUCCAAUUUGGCCUUCAGACUAAAAUACUGACAUUCCUAAAGCUUGCUUCCCCCAGACUAACAUAUAGGUCCCACUUAAAUGGCAUCUUUGAAUCUGGAUGGAUGAAUGAGAAAAUGGGAUACUUGGAAUAAGAUCCAGGCUUAAUUAGUCAUUUAUUUAUGGCAAAGGGCUGUGGCAAAGGUCAUAUGAUAAAAUUGGGUCAUGGUUGUGGUCUUAAUUUUCUUUUCAGUUUCAUUUCUAUAAUUCUUUGGUAUCUUUUUCUUUGUAUUUUUAACAAAGCAUGAUAUGACUUUAAAGCAAAGGACCAUCAUGUUGGAUGACUAAUGAUACAUACAAAAAACAACUAUCUUGCUGCAGAAGACCAGAUUGAUAGUGCAUUUAUUACACUUAAAUAUAUAUCUGAAAAAUAUAGACCUAUACAAAAUAUUUCAUGUAUUAAAAUAUUAACUAUAUAUUCAGAUAAGUUAUUUACAUUAUAUUUUAGGUAUGAAAAAUAAUUUUAAAAUGCAAAAAUAACAUAAUAUAAAAAUGCUGAGAUUUUAAGCCAUGUUUUUAAAAUAUUGUUCUAAUAUAAGGAAUUUAUAUUUUGAAACUGAUAGCUGAAAUCUGUUUCAAAUGUUUGCUACUACAUUUGGAAAUUCAGUGAACAUUCCAUUUCAACUUGUAGCAUUAACUCACUUCUAGUAUGAAAUUAAGUAAAUUUCUACUUACACAAUAAAGGUUUAGCUACACAGUUCUUUUGAUUUUGAUCCAUAGCAGCAAAGGCACUGUACAUCAACAAAUUCACAGUUUUAAAGGUUUGUUUAUAAGCAUUCAGAGAAAAAUACUGCAACAUUUAAGUUUCAAGAAGACUAAAGCAAAACUGGUUCAUUAUGGUUUAUAUUUAGCAAAAGAACUGAAGCUGUGAAGAGAUGUCCACAAAAACAGAUGAUAAUGUUGAACCAUAUUAUGUAGCAAAUUGUAAACAAAGAAUUCAAACAUGCAUGGGGUUUCACUAAUUGAACAUCCAUCAAACUAAAUUACCAUUGCUUGAUCUAAAGGGGGUAAAUACAUAAAAUAAUAGCAGAUAUAGUGAGUUAUCUUUCCAGUGCAUCCUGUAACUGUUGUUACUGAAAAAUUUAAUCAAGGACAGACAUCUGGACUUAGUACUGGUUAUUCUGGCUGUUCCUCAACUAGAACUGGCAAGUAAAUAAAAAGAUAUAACUACCAAAUUAUUAAAAUUUUGGUCUAAACUAUAAUCAAUUACAGUAACUAUAAUCAGUUUGUGGGUUACCAGCUAUCCUGGGUGAUUAUAAUUUACUACUCUUUUUCACAAUUGUGUGAUAUACUAAUUACAUAACCGAUCAUUUCAUUAUUUUGUUCUCUAGUGGUUAUUAGUUAACUUUAAUGUUUAAUUGCUUAUAACUUUGACAAAAAAGAUGGUGAGUGUUGUGAUGUGAAUAAUGUGGUUUGGAGACAUGUACAUGUUUACAACAGAAGCACCAGGAUCCACUUCAAGUCACUGAGAAAGUUAUGUGGUCAUAAUAGUUGCAGUAUCCAUCUAAGCCAUAAUAGAUUUCUUAUGGACCAUCAGAGCAUACAUAUGUGUAGGCUUGAGAGGCCAGGGAUCCAGUUCCCUGCUCAACUACCCAUAGUCUUCUGUGUGCUCCCCUAUAUAAAGGAUUUUUCUGCUGUCAA